AGCUACUGUAUCCCAGAACCUUCUUGCCUUCCCAGUCCCAAGGCACUAUCAUCUUCUGCCUGGAAUUCUGCAAAGCAUAUGAAGGUGCCUUUGGAACUUCGUUCCCAUUUUUCAUAUUUGCUCUGCCACCUCUACACCCAGCCCCGCUUUCUGCAACCAAUUGUAUUAUAACCCCCUCCCAAACACUUAAUGCAUCCUCCCACUCAUGUAAUUUGUUUACC
rnacentral:lncRNA from 1 species